rnacentral:rRNA from 1 species
GAUGAACGCUAGCUACAGGCUUAACACAUGCAAGUCGAGGGGCAGCAUGAACAUAGCUUGCUAUGUUUGAUGGCGACCGGCGCACGGGUGCGUAACACGUAUCCAAUCUACCCAUGGCUCGGGGAUAGCCUUUCGAAAGAAAGAUUAAUACCCGAUGGUCUCGGUUUAAGGCAUCUUAGACUGAGUAAAGAUUUAUCGGCGAUGGAUGAGGAUGCGUCUGAUUAGGUAGAUGGCGGGGUAACGGCCCACCAUGCCUACGAUCAGUAGGGGUUCUGAGAGGAAGGUCCCCCACAUUGGAACUGAGACACGGUCCAAACUCCUACGGGAGGCAGCAGUGAGGAAUAUUGGUCAAUGGACGAGAGUCUAAACCAGCCAAGUAGCGUGAAGGAUGACUGCCCUAUGGGUUGUAAACUUCUUUUGUUUGGGAAUAAAGUUCGGGACGUGUCCCGUUUUGUAUGUACCAUUCGAAUAAGCAUCGGCUAAUUCCGUGCCAGCAGCCGCCGUAAAAC